rnacentral:rRNA from 1 species
CAGUAGCCGCGGGAAUACGGAGGGGGCUAGCGUUGUUCGGAAUUACUGGGCGUAAAGCGCACGUAGGCGGCUUGGUAAGUUAGAGGUGAAAGCCCGGAGCUCAACUCCGGAAUUGCCUUUAAGACUGCCGAGCUAGCAGGUGAGAGAGGUAAGUGGAAUUCCGAGUGUAGAGGUGAAAUUCGUAGAUAUUCGGAAGAACACCAGUGGCGAAGGCGGCUUACUGGCUCAUACUGGACGCUGAGGUGCGAAAGCGUGGGGAGCAAACAGGAUUAGAUACCCCAGUAGUCCCUGUCUCUUAUAC